rnacentral:misc_RNA from 1 species
AAAAUGGAGACAGGAAAAGCUUUUUCUUCAAUGCAAAGCUCUCUCCUUCUCGUUGCAAAUGGGCCCAUCAUCAAUCUCAAUCGCAAUCGCAAACCCAACUGUCACGUAUUCUUCUUCUUCUGCCACUGCUCCUUUCUCUUUCUCUUUCUCCUCCCCUUGCCAGCAGAAACUUUGUAAAGCCAUCAACUUUCACUUUCACUUUCACCACAGCCUCUCUUCCCCCACUUUUUUCAGUCUUUAAUGCCUGCCUAUACAAGAAGAAUUUCGCUUAAAAAAUAUUUGGUCGGUGCUAUAUGCCUAGGCAUUCUAGUCUUCUAUUCCUCCUCCUCUUUUCUUGUCAAAAGAUAAUCACUCACCCACCCCUUCAAGAAAAUAAAAGUCCUUGUUUUUACCUUCUCAUAUAUUAGAACUCAUUGAAAAUUAAUCU